UAUAGAUAUAUAAACUGGAUAAAAGUGAAUUCGAGCGAACAAAACCUCAUUCCGCACACAAUCGCCUAUUAUCUCAACAAUAUGAACACCUUUGCAAUGAUCAUCGCUAGCGCAGCCACCCUUCUUUUCUUUAUGGCCACUCAGGCCAAUGCCUGCAUCGUGCCGAUCAAUCCGGAGAAGGCUAUGGAGUUCGUGGGGAAAAUGGUGGAGAAGGGGCAACAAGUAAUUACGAACCAAUAAUUAUUUUAUAUCUAGUACAAUUAACAAUCCGGAGGCAAUGUUGGCAUAUAAUAGCAGUGAAAGUCGCAAUGUAAAUUGAUAAUAAACAUUUAAUUGUA